ensembl:snRNA U6 U6 spliceosomal RNA
GUGCUUGCUGGAACAACACAAANACUAAAAUUGGAAUGAUAUAGCUAAAAUUAGCAUGGCCUCUGCACAAGGAUAACAUGCAAUUCAUGAAAUGUUCCAUACACAC